ACUCCUACGGGAGGCAGCAGUAGGGAAUAUUGGUCAAUGGGCGAAAGCCUGAACCAGCCAUGCCGCGUGGAGGAUGAAUGCCCUCUGGGUUGUAAACUCCUUUUAUAAGAGAAGAAACCUCUGGAUUUAUCCGGAGCUGACGGUAUCUUAUGAAUAAGCACCGGCUAACUCCGUGCCAGCAGCCGCGGUAAUACGGAGGGUGCAAGCGUUAUCCGGAUUCACUGGGUUUAAAGGGUGCGUAGGCGGGAAAUUAAGUCAGUUGUGAAAACCCCGAGCUUAACUUGGGAAUUGCAAUUGAUACUGAUUUUCUUGAAUACGGUUGAGGUAAGCGGAAUACAGCAUGUAGCGGUGAAAUGCAUAGAUAUGCUGUAGAACACCAAUUGCGAAGGCAGCUUGCUAAGCCGUGAUUGACGCUAAUGCACGAAAGCGUGGGUAGCGAACAGGAUUAGAUACCCUGGUAGCACAGAG
rnacentral:rRNA from 1 species